ensembl:lncRNA
AUUGGUGUUGGUGUUGGUAGUAGCAUUCCUCGCAGUAACAGCACCACUAGCAGUAAUAAAAAUAAUUGUUCGUUGUCCGUAUCUACUUCAAGGUCUUUUCAAAGUUCUGUGAAUGGAAAAUGUGCUUUACCUUUAAAUAUGCAUAAUUACAAAGAAAAAAAAAAAAGAAAAAAAAUGAAAAAUGAAAAAUAUAUUACUCAUUGUGCAAUUGCAAGGGACAAUAUUAUUAACAGUCAUAAUAUAAAGGUUAAAAAAGAAAAAAAAAUGAAUAAUGAAUAUAAUAAAAAAAUUGUUGUUAAAAAGAACAGUGUGUCAAGUGAUGAUCACAGUUGUGGUAGUCGUAAUAGUAAUAGUAGUAAUCGUAAUAGUAAUAGUAGUAAUCGUAAUAGUAAUAGUAAUAGUAGUAGUAGUUGUAGUCGUAGUAGUAGGUGUGAUAAAAAACAUUUGAUGGAUUGCUUACAAGCGUCAAAUAAUUUUACUCGUAAUAGCAGUAUCGAUGUUAAUAGCGAUAACGAUAUUACUUAUAAUGACAACUACAGUGACAACUACAGUGACAACUACAGUGAAAACUACAAUGAAAACUACCGUGAAAACUACAGUGAAAACUACAGUGAAAACUACAGUGAAAACUACAAUGAAAACUACAAUGAAAACUACAAUGAAAACUGUAGUAACAAUAAGAACAGUCGUAGUCAGAGUUUUAAUGAAGACUAUGACCCAGUCUACAAUAACUGUUUGUUUUUAAAUGAGGACAAUAAAGAAGAAAACACAGAAAUCCAUUAUUUAGUUGUUUAUAAUUUUAUGUUAAGUGCCAAAAGGGAAAAAGAUGAAAUAACAAUAAAGUACCAUAUUUCAUAUACGCAAAACGCAAAUUUCAAUUUUGAAACUAAUUGGAAUAAUAUACCAUUAGAAUUUAAACAUGCACUUAAAUAUAUUGUACAAAGAAAAGUGGAUAUACAUAACAUGUUAAAAAGACAUGGUUCUAUUUUUCGAUCGAUUUAUAAAAAAUGGGAGGAAGAUAUUUAUAUAUUUGAAGAAGAAAGAAAAAAAAAUGAUAUAUUUGCUUGGGGUAUUUUACCUGUACGAGCAUAUGAUCAUCCAAAUUUAUUUGUACCACUACCAUACGGAUUUAAAAACAAUAACAAAAUGUUAAAUUUUAAUUAUAUGACUACUAAUAAUAAUAAAUAUAAUAAUAAAAAUGGAAUACAUAAUAAACAUAAAAUAAAUAAUAAAAAUGGGAUACAUAAUAAAAAUAAAAUAAAUGACAAUUUUCAUAUUUCUAAUGAUGAAUAUUAUGAUAAUAACGAUGAGGAAAACUAUGGCAAUUUAAACCAGUUUGAAAUGAAAAAAGAUUAUAUGAAUAUAAAACACGUUAAUCUAACUGGACCUUGUCUAAAUUGGACUAAACAUUGCAUAUUUUAUAGUGACUAUAAAAAAAAAUUACAAGAUCGAUACUUUUCUAACUUUCCCUAUGAUUAUCUUACAAGAAACUCUUUAUCUCUUUUUGAUUUGGAAAGAACUAUUAUUUAUAAAAACACAAAUAAUUUGAUGCGGUUUGACGAGAGAAAAAGAGGAGGGGGAGAAGCAGAAGAGGUGGACGAGGUGAAAGAAGAAGAGGUGGGAGGAGAGGAAGAGAUGGAAGAAAAAAAUGACUAUAUCAACGAUGGUGUGCUAGCAAACAUUAAUCUUGAGUUUUGUACUUCGAGGAGCAGCAGUAAUCAUUCUCCUAAAAAAGAGAUUGAUACAUUAAUUUUGACAAAUAAAACAUCUGACUAUUGUAAUAAAAUGGAUACAAAUAAUAUUGUUAAUAAAGGUAGAGAAAUAUCAGAAUAUAAGAAAUAUGAUGAGGAAACGAUACAAAAAUGUGACGAAACGAUAAAAAUAUAUGAGGAUGUGUAUAACCACAAUAUAGUGUAUAACCACAAUAUAGUGGAAAAACACGAUCGAGUGGAAAAAUACGAUAGAGAACAAAAACACGAAAAAGAGCAAAAACAC